AUUGAACGCUGGCGGCAGGCCUAACACAUGCAAGUCGAACGGUAACAGGAAGAAGCUUGCUUCUUUGCUGACGAGUGUCGGGCGGGUGAGUCAUGUCUGUGAAACUGCCUUCUGGCGGGGGAUAACUACUGGAAACGGUAGCUAAUACCGCAUAACGUCGCAAGACCAAAGAGGGGGACCUUCGGGCCUCUUGCCAUCUGAUGUGCCCAGAUGGGAUUAGCUAGUAGGUGGGGUAACGGCUCACCUAGGCGACGAUCCCUAGCUGGUCUGAGAGGAUGACCAGCCACACUGGAACUGAGACACGGUCCAGACUCCUACGGGAGGCAGCAGUGGGGAAUAUUGCACAAAGGGCGCAAGCCUGAUGCAGCCAUGCCGCGUGUAUGAAGAAGGCCUUCGGGUUGUAAAGUACUUUCAGCGGGGAGGAAGGGAGUAAAGUUAAUACCUGUGCUCAUUGACGUUACCCGAAGAAGAAGCACCGGCUAACUCCGUG
rnacentral:rRNA from 1 species